rnacentral:rRNA from 1 species
AUGGUCCGUAUUCGUGACUCCGAGGUGCAAUAUAAGCUCACCACCGUGUACGGUCCCGCGGACUCUUCUCGCAAAGAUGCCUUCUUCGCGGAGCUUAUCAGCCAAAAACCGCCCAACGGUAUGCCAUGGCUUGCGGCUGGGGAUUUCAACCAAAUUUAUCGUGCAAGAGACAAAAACAAAAGACAUGUCAACCGAAGUAGAAUUAAUCGGUUCCGAGCGACACUGCAAAGUUGUGAGCUUAAAGAGAUACACUUGCAAAAUAGGAGGUUCACUUGGAGCAACGAGAGGGAAAAUCCGACUAUGUGCAAACUGGACUCGUUUUUCUGCAAUGCCGAGUGGGACACCACUUUCAGCACUCAUCUGCUUCACGCCCUCUCGUCCUCGCUAUCCGAUCACUGCCCGCUUCUCCUCGCGAUGACAAGGGGCCUCGGAGGCCUAGAACCUUCAAGUUUGAAAAUUUUUGGAUUGCUAUGCCCGGCUUUAUGGAGGUGGUCAAAAAGGCUUGGAUCGAGCCGCUCGAGCAUGUUGAGCCAUAUCAAGUCCUGUUCCAUAAACUCAAGAAGGUGGCUCUCUGCCUUUCCGAAUGGAGUAGGGGCCUUUUCUCCAAGGCAAAGGUUCACCUACAUGCCGCCCUAUUGGUGA